GAUGAACGCUAGCGGCAGGCAUAAUACAUGCAAGUUGAACGGGAUUCAGAUAGCAAUAUUUGAUGAGAGUGGCGCACGGGUGCGUAACACGUAUGCAACUUACCUUAAACUGGGAGAUAGCCCGUGGAAACAUGGAUUAAUAUCCCAUAGUAUAAAGAACAGGCAUUUGUUUUUUAUUAAAGCUCCGGCGGUUUAAGAUGGGCAUGCGCGUCAUUAGCUAGAUGGAGAGGUAACGGCUCACCAUGGCAACGAUGACUAGGGGGUCUGAGAGGAUGUCCCCCCACACUGGUACUGAGACACGGACCAGACUCCUACGGGAGGCAGCAGUAGGGAAUAUUGGGCAAUGGACGCAAGUCUGACCUAGCCAUGCCGCGUGCAGGAAGACGGCCCUCUGGGUUGUAAACUGCUUUUAUCAGGGAAGAAACCCUUCUACGUGUAGGAGGCUGACGGUACCUGAGGAAUAAGGAUCGGCUAACUCCGUGCCAGCA
rnacentral:rRNA from 1 species